CCCUUAGAUGUCCUGGGCCGCACGCGCGUUACACUGAUGCAUUCAACGAGCUUAUAACCUUGGCCGAGAGGCCUGGGCAAUCUUGUUAACGUGCAUCGUGAUAGGGAUAGAUUAUUGAAAUUAUUAAUCUUGAACGAGGAUUUCCUAGUAAACGCAGAUCAUCAAUCUGCAUUGAUUACGUCCCUGCCCUUUGUACACACCGCCCGUCGCACCUACCGAUUGGAUGGUCCGGUGAAGCCUCGGGAUUGUGGUUCUUGCCGCUUUAUUGUGGCGUGACCGCGAGAACUUGUCUAAACCUUAUCAUCUAGAGGAAGGUGAAGUCGUAACA
rnacentral:rRNA from 1 species